UUUAUAUGACGCUGUUGACUUUUAUGUUUACGUUUGACCGUUCGUCUUAUUCAAAGAUAUAUAUAAUUAUUGACUUUUUGUUAUAAUUUGAUCUAUUAUUUUGAGAACUUUAAGUAUGACUUAUAGUUAUACAUAUUUGGAUAAAAUUUUUGAAUAAGACGAAUGGUCAAACGUACACAUAAAAGUUAACAAUGUCAUAUAAA
rnacentral:pre_miRNA from 1 species